rnacentral:rRNA from 1 species
CGGUGAAGCCAAGCUUGCUUGGUGGAUCAGUGGCGAACGGGUGAGUAACACGUGAGCAACCUGCCCUGGACUCUGGGAUAAGCGCUGGAAACGGCGUCUAAUACUGGAUAUGAGCUCUCAUCGCAUGGUGGGGGUUGGAAAGAUUUUUUGGUCUGGGAUGGGCUCGCGGCCUAUCAGCUUGUUGGUGAGGUAAUGGCUCACCAAGGCGUCGACGGGUAGCCGGCCUGAGAGGGUGACCGGCCACACUGGGACUGAGACACGGCCCAGACUCCUACGGGAGGCAGCAGUGGGGAAUAUUGCACAAUGGGCGGAAGCCUGAUGCAGCAACGCCGCGUGAGGGAUGACGGCCUUCGGGUUGUAAACCUCUUUUAGCAGGGAAGAAGCGAGAGUGACGGUACCUGCAGAAAAAGCGCCGGCUAACUACGUGCCAGCAGCCGCGGUAAUACGUAGGGCGCAAGCGUUAUCCGGAAUUAUGGGCGUAAAGAGCUCGUAGGCGGUUUGUCGCGUCUGCUGUGAAAUCCCGAGGCUCAACCUCGGGCCUGCAGUGGGUACGGGCAGACUAGAGUGCGGUAGGGGAGAUUGGAAUUCCUGGUGUAGCGGUGGAAUGCGCAGAUAUCAGGAGGAACACCGAUGGCGAAGGCAGAUCUCUGGGCCGUAACUGACGCUGAGGAGCGAAAGGGUGGGGAGCAAACAGGCUUAGAUACCCUGGUAGUCCACCCCGUAAACGUUGGGAACUAGUUGUGGGGACCAUUCCACGGUUUCCGUGACGCAGCUAACGCAUUAAGUUCCCCGCCUGGGGAGUACGGCCGCAAGGCUAAAACUCAAAGGAAUUGACGGGGACCCGCACAAGCGGCGGAGCAUGCGGAUUAAUUCGAUGCAACGCGAAGAACCUUACCAAGGCUUGACAUACACCAGAACACCGUAGAAAUACGGGACUCUUUGGACACUGGUGAACAGGUGGUGCAUGGUUGUCGUCAGCUCGUGUCGUGAGAUGUUGGGUUAAGUCCCGCAACGAGCGCAACCCUCGUUCUAUGUUGCCAGCACGUAAUGGUGGGAACUCAUGGGAUACUGCCGGGGUCAACUCGGAGGAAGGUGGGGAUGACGUCAAAUCAUCAUGCCCCUUAUGUCUUGGGCUUCACGCAUGCUACAAUGGCCGGUACAAAGGGCUGCAAUACCGUGAGGUGGAGCGAAUCCCAAAAAGCCGGUCCCAGUUCGGAUUGAGGUCUGCAACUCGACCUCAUGAAGUCGGAGUCGCUAGUAAUCGCAGAUCAGCAACGCUGCGGUGAAUACGUUCCCGGGUCUUGUACACACCGCCCGUCAAGUCAUGAAAGUCGGUAACACCUGAAGCCGGUGGCCUAACCCUUGUGGAG